rnacentral:rRNA from 1 species
GCAUAUCAAUAAGCGGAGGAAAAGAAACUAACAAGGAUUCCCCUAGUAACGGCGAGUGAACGGGAAGAGCUCAAAUUUGAAAUCUGGCGUCCUCAGGGCGUCCGAGUUGUAAUCUAUAGAGGCGUUUCCGUGCCGGACCGUGUACAAGUUCCUUGAGAACAGGAUAUCAAAGAGGGUGACAAUCCCGUACUUGACACGACGACCGGUGCUCUGUGAUACGUCUUCUACGAGUCGAGUUGUUUGGGAAUGCAGCUCAAAAUGGGUGGUGAGUUCCAUCUAAAGCUAAAUAUUGGCGAGAGACCGAUAGCGAACAAGUACCGUGAGGGAAAGAUGAAAAGCACUUUGGAAAGAGAGUUAAACAGUACGUGAAAUUGUUGAAAGGGAAACGAUUGAAGUCAGUCGUGACCGAGAGGCUCAGCCGGUUCUGCCGGUGUAUUCCCCUCGGUCGGGUCAACAUCAGUUUUGUCCGGUGGAUAAGGGCGGUAGGAAGGUGGCACCCUCGGGUGUGUUAUAGCCUGCCGUCGCAUACAUCGGGUGAGACUGAGGAUCGCAGCUCGCCUUUAUGGCCGGGUUCGCCCACGUCCGAGCUUAGGAUGUAC